rnacentral:rRNA from 1 species
AUUGAACGCUGGCGGCAGGCCUAACACAUGCAAGUCGAACGAGUGGCGGACGGGUGAGUAAUGUCUGGGAAACUGCCCGAUGGAGGGGGAUAACUACUGGAAACGGUGGCUAAUAACGCAUACCAUCGGAGGUGCCCAUAUGGGAUUAGCUAGUAGUUGGGGUAACGGCUCACCUAGGCGACGAUCCCGAGCGGGUCGGAGAGGAUGACAAGCCAAACGGUAACUGAGACACGGUCAAGACUGCGACGGGAGGCAGAAGGGGGGAAUAUGGCACAAUGGGCGAAAGCCUGAGGCAGCAAUGCCGCGUGUAUGAAGAAGGCCUUAGGGUUGUAAAGUACUUUCAGCGAGGAGGCGUUACUCGCAGAAGAAGCACCGGCUAACUCCGUGCCAGCAGCCGCGGUAAGUC